CCUACGGGGGGCAGCAGUGGGGAAUAUUGCACAAUGGGGGAAACCCUGAUGCAGCCAUGCCGCGUGUGUGAAGAAGGCCUUCGGGUUGUAAAGCACUUUCAGCGAGGAGGAAAGGUCAGUAGCUAAUAUCUGCUGGCUGUGACGUUACUCGCAGAAGAAGCACCGGCUAACUCCGUGCCAGCAGCCGCGGUAAUACGGAGGGUGCAAGCGUUAAUCGGAAUUACUGGGCGUAAAGCGCACGCAGGCGGUUGGGUAAGUUAGAUGUGAAAGCCCCGGGCUC
rnacentral:rRNA from 1 species